ensembl:misc_RNA Metazoa_SRP Metazoan signal recognition particle RNA
GCCGGGUGUGGUGGCGCAUGCUUGUGGUCCCAGCUACUUGGGAGGCUGAGGCAGGAGGACCACUUGAGCCCAGGAGGUUGAGGCUGCAGUGAGUUUUGAGUGCACCACUGCACUCCCGCCUGGGUGACAGAAGGAGACCCUGUCUCUU